ensembl:snRNA
GUGUUGCAUGAAACGGGGGAAGGUUAGCACUCCCCUUGAUAAGGAUGGAAGAGGCCCUUGGGCCUGAGAACACGCAAAUGGUUAAAGUGUUGCCACCUGCUCCAUGGCAUCCAACCACUGUUUUUG